AGGAUGAUCAUUUCAGAUAAUCUUUAUGCUGACUACACACUACUAUUGUGUGAAGCAGAUAAGGAACAAUUUCUCCAUCUUAGAGGAAUUCUGUUAGCUUUUGAAGCUGUUUCAGGUAUAUAAGCGAACCUUGCCAAAAGUAUUCUGUUCAGUGUUAAUGCAGACAGUAGUACUAAUGAAUGAUCUGUAAACUAGGGUCAGAAUGUCAAAUUGAAGGUUGGAACUUGUUAAUGGAAAAAAAAUCAGGUUGUGGACUGAUGUUUUGUUGGGAAAUUAAGAUUGCUGGACAUAUUCCUUAUUUUGUGUAGUUUAACUAGACAAUGUACAGUUGCUGAAUGUUAUACUGGGACAGUUCCGAAUUUCAAUUUCAGGAGAAAUUUCAAUGAUUGGAAAAUAAAUGAAGUUAGUCCAUUAUUGCUUUAUUAGGAACCUCUGAUUCUUGAUGCCAAUAGGCUUGACACUCAGAUUUGGACAGCAGGUAAGGAUGGCAAAUUGUUUGUUAAAGCUGCUAUAAUACGUUAUAGAUACAAACUGCAUUUUUUGGGGAAAAUAUGAUCCAAAUGUAUUACGAUAGGGUGGUUAUACUUAGAAAUUGAAAUGGAGGGUAGAUGUAGCUUAUUUUCGAUAUUAAGACUUGAGCCUCCCUUUCAAGGUCUCAAGUUCGAAACCCACUGGGUGCAAACAAUUUCUAAGGGUCAUCGGAUUGGGUAAAAUCUAAAUUAACCGUGGUGCACUUGCGGGAAUAUCCUUGCCGAGGGCCUGUGCACUCGCGGGAUUAGUCGGGGCUCUUAGAGACUCGAACACCCGGUGCAAAUCAAAAAAGGGGCAAAUAUGGCCCUUAAGAUUUUUUUAUAUUUUCUGGGUGUUUCAGGGAUGUUGCUGCAACAGCUAUGCUGCAACUUUUUAUUUUUGUACUUCAAUGAAAUUCCUUAUAUCUCAUUAGCUCUCUAACUUGGUUGUUAUCACUUAACUUAGGCUGAAGCUCAGGAAGAUGUAAUUUGCAAUGUAUUAAAGCGCUGUGAUGUUGCUGAAGCCCUAUGCACUGCAGCAGAAGAAAGGGUAAACCAACCAUUUUUUGAUCUUCCAAUUUGGGCACAUUCGCCUCGCAGUCUUAUAAAAUCAUUAGGUGAAGAAUAACUAUGAGAAUGACACUAGAGAAAACAGUUGAGUUUUGCUGGCAUUCACAGAAUGUUGCUAAGUUGAAUUGUAUUGCAAGUUUGCUAAAGUGGUUGCAAGCUCAACUUGGCCCAAGCUUCAUGAGUGAACCACCUAAAGAACUAUAUACAGCGUGUUUCUUAGGUGACUGAUGGAGCGAUAACAACCAGGAGGUUGGCUGGUUACAAAUACAGCUUUGUCAUAUUUUGGCGUGUUUAUAUUAGUAACAUAUUGUUGUACAUAUUCUGAAGGAAUGCAAAACUAAAUGGAAGUUCAUCAACUUUGCGUUUGCCUUGUGCUUUUGUGUAGGAUAGUUAGAUGAGAGAAUUACAUGAUAACUAUUCUAUAUUAUUGGGACAGUUUUCAUGUUC